rnacentral:lncRNA from 1 species
AUGCUCCAAGAAAGAGGAUGGAAAGCUCAGGCCAUUUCUGAUCCUGGAAGCUUUCCAUAUGUAUGCAGACCACUGGAGACUUUCCAAGGAUUCCAAAUUAAGGAGCACUUCCGUCAGUUGUCACCUACAGUUCAUCUUGUAGUGCUGGCAGGUCCUAGCAGAACUGUGCACUGCUGCUCAGUGUGAAGGGUUGGUGGUUCAUUUUUACAUCAAACAAACCAAAGGAGUUUUUCCUCUUGUUUCACUUACAGCAGAAACCCAGGAAAAUUAAAAACAAAAUAUGUCCAGAGCAGUCUUUCUCAUGUUUUCAGCCAAGUAACUUUGUCCUACAUAUUUUAUUAUUAUUCAAGUGGAUGAAGUGUCUGACCACACUACAUGGUCACAUCAUCAAGAGUGAGAAGUAUCACAUAUCUUACAGGGAUACAGAAAUGAGGAAUCAUUCAGAAGAGUGGAAGAAAGUGACAAUUGUACACCCUGCUUAAAUAUGUGACCCCCUCCAGCCACAAUGACAGAACUGUCUUGUGUGGUCAGGGCUGGAAAAUUUCAUUCCCCAUGUAUGAGCCUAGAAGCACAUGCUUGAAUUAUAUUUUAUUCAUUAUAGACUCAUGACCUUGUGGUUUAUUUUUUUUAAAGCUGUAGUGUCCUCCUCUAUUUUGUCCUUCAGAAUUCUGACUUGUUUUGUCUUAAGUUCAGAUUCCAGUAGUUGGGUUGGUGUUUUUUUGGUGUGUGUUUUUUUUUUUUAAUGGAUUCCUCAUGGGUUUAUAUCAAGAAAGUUUUAAAUGUCUGAAGAAUUACAUAAGCUACAGUUAAUUUUUUUUGUGUAUUGCCACUUGUGGUUGCCUUUUUUAAUAAGACUAUAGCUUUUAAGUUGCUUUUUUUAAAGUGCCUUUCUCUUAUUUUCCCAGUGAUAAAAACAGGGUGCCAAAUUUUGCUCCCCUGAAUUCACAACUGUCAGAAAUCAGUCAGGUAUUAAAAAUGUAACUGGGUGAGAAUUUGGCCUAGAUUGUGCAAAGCCCCAGGGAAAUAUUAUAGCUGUGUGGGAAACUUCUAAAUUUUCUUGUGUUUUCCCAUUCAUUGCUCCUCCUCUUUCCUGUUUGGCUUCUGGGAUUCUCCCCAAAGAAACUCAAGACGUGUCUUUCUCAAUACAAGUAGACAGAGCAUAGACACAAUAUUGGAUUUUGGGCCUCUUGAAAGAACAAAUGAGUGUAAGUUCACAUUAUUUCUAGUUCAUGUAGUGGUAUUAGCUGAGUUGCCUGCUUUUAUGACAAUAAAAGAAAAUUCAUUCAAACA